CGGAAGCAACCUUCGCUGAUGCCGAAGGGGUAUGGUAUUGUGAGGUCGCCACAUGUUUCUCUGCAUCCAGGCUUUGCCAUCCUGGACGCUGUGCUGCUCUUGAUGCUUGCUUGCAGCAGGGUGGAUGCAAAGAUUAGCCAUGCCAUCAAAAGAUAAUAAUCUAUUAAAAGGACGUGGAGAUAAUCAGAUGCACGUCUGAGUCGAUGAAGGAGAAGGUGAACUUGUUUGUGUCACGGCAUUGAUUAGACUGGAACUGGUAAAGCGGGUGAGAUUGUUCUGCUGAAUACCUUGGACUAAUUCUGCUGUCUCGAUCAACUUGGAUGCCAACAGAUUUUCACAACAGUUCCACAGAAAGGGCAAAGGAAAGUAUUACAUGUGCUUUGGAAGGCAAAACAACAGGCUCCAAACCAUGUGAUCUCAUAAAGUCCAUAAACUAGGACUAGUCAGCCGGAGACAAAUCCUAUGCGCAAUCAACACGCUAGCUCUGGCUUAGGUGGGCUUGAUGAGAUAGAUGUUGGUUGAGUCAAGUCACGAGAAGAGAAACGGUGCUUCGUAUUGACUUCAACUUCUCAGCGACUUCUGUCAUUAAUGGUCGUUCAUCCCCCCUCAUAUUCAAGCAACACUUUGCCAGUUGAGCAACUUCUUGGAGCAGCUCUGUUUCAAACUCCAGGAUAUUAUUGUCCAAGAUGAACUGAAGUCCGUUCUGUUUCAUUGCCAGAAGGAAAGUUG